GCUUAACACAUGCAAGUCGAGGGGCAGCAUGGUCUUAGCUUGCUAAGGCCGAUGGCGACCGGCGCACGGGUGAGUAACACGUAUCCAACCUGCCGUCUACUCUUGGACAGCCUUCUGAAAGGAGGAUUAAUACAAGAUGGCAUCAUGAGUCCGCAUGUUCACAUGAUUAAAGGUAUUCCGGUAGACGAUGGGGAUGCGUUCCAUUAGAUAGUAGGCGGGGUAACGGCCCACCUAGUCUUCGAUGGAUAGGGGUUCUGAGAGGAAGGUCCCCCACAUUGGAACUGAGACACGGUCCAAACUCCUACGGGAGGCAGCAGUGAGGAAUAUUGGUCAAUGGGCGAGAGCCUGAACCAGCCAAGUAGCGUGAAGGAUGACUGCCCUAUGGGUUGUAAACUUCUUUUAUAAAGGAAUAAAGUCGGGUAUGGAUACCCGUUUGCAUGUACUUUAUGAAUAAGGAUCGGCUAACUCCGUGCCAGCAGCCGCGGUAAUACGGAGGAUCCGAGCGUUAUCCGGAUUUAUUGGGUUUAAAGGGAGCGUAGAUGGAUGUUUAAGUCAGUUGUGAAAGUUUGCGGCUCAACCGUAAAAUUGCAGUUGAUACUGGAUAUCUUGAGUGCAGUUGAGGCAGGCGGAAUUCGUGGUGUAGCGGUGAAAUGCUUAGAUAUCACGAAGAACUCCGAUUGCGAAGGCAGCCUGCUAAGCUGCAACUGACAUUGAGGCUCGAAAGUGUGGGUAUCAAACAGGAUUAGAUACCCUGGUAGUCCACACGGUAAACGAUGAAUACUCGCUGUUUGCGAUAUACUGCAAGCGGCCAAGCGAAAGCGUUAAGUAUUCCACCUGGGGAGUACGCCGGCAACGGUGAAACUCAAAGGAAUUGACGGGGGCCCGCACAAGCGGAGGAACAUGUGGUUUAAUUCGAUGAUACGCGAGGAACCUUACCCGGGCUUAAAUUGCAGAUGAAUUACGGUGAAAGCCGUAAGCCGCAAGGCAUCUGUGAAGGUGCUGCAUGGUUGUCGUCAGCUCGUGCCGUGAGGUGUCGGCUUAAGUGCCAUAACGAGCGCAACCCUUGUUGUCAGUUACUAACAGGUUCCGCUGAGGACUCUGACAAGACUGCCAUCGUAAGAUGUGAGGAAGGUGGGGAUGACGUCAAAUCAGCACGGCCCUUACGUCCGGGGCUACACACGUGUUACAAUGGGGGGUACAGAGGGCCGCUACCACGCGAGUGGAUGCCAAUCCCCAAAACCUCUCUCAGUUCGGACUGGAGUCUGCAACCCGACUCCACGAAGCUGGAUUCGCUAGUAAUCGCGCAUCAGCCACGGCGCGGUGAAUACGUUCCCGGGCCUUGUACACACCGCCCGUCAAGCCAUGGGAGCCGGGGGUACCUGAAGUGCGUAACCGCGAGGAGCGCCCUAGGGUAAAACUGGUGACUGGGGCUAA
rnacentral:rRNA from 1 species